rnacentral:rRNA from 1 species
UACGAAGGGGGCUAGCGUUGCUCGGAAUCACUGGGCGUAAAGGGCGCGUAGGCGGCGUUUUUAAGUCGGGGGUGAAAGCCGUGUGGCUCAACCACAGAAUGGCCUCGAUACUGGGACGCUUGAGUAUGGUAGAGGUUGGUGGAACUGCGAGUGUAGAGGUGAAAAUUCGUAGAUAUUCGCAAGAACACCGGUGGCGUAAGGCGGCCAACUGGACCAUU